rnacentral:sRNA from 1 species
UCAUAUACUGCGUUAGGGAUUGCAGCGGAAAUACUUUUUUGAUUUGCCUAUUCGGCGAAGUAAAAAAGAUUGUAGCGAAAAGCCCGACCCGCC